GUUCCGGUGGCCUAGUGGUUAGAGCGUCCGCCUCGGAUGCGGGAGGCCGUGGGUUCGAGCCCCAGGUGAGUCA